rnacentral:lncRNA from 1 species
GCUUGGUCUUCAUUGAGUGUUCUUGAUGGGAAUGUGAACUUCAAAGUCAAAGAGUGCUCGGGGCCUAUAAUCCCAGCACUUUGGGAGGCCGAGGCGGGUAGAUCACCUGAGGUCAGGAGUUCGAGACCAGCCUGGUCAACAUGGUGAAACCUCAUCUCUACUAAAAUACAAAAAUUAGGUGGGCAUGGUGGCACACACCUGUAAUCCCAGCUACUAGGGAGGCUGAGACAGGAGAACCCCUUGAACCUGGGAAGUGAAGGUUGCAGUGAGCCAAGAUCGCACCAUUUGCCCUCCAGCCUCGGCGACAGAGCAAGACUCCAUCUCCAAAAAAAAAAAAAAAAAAUGCUGCAUUCAUAUCCAAGCUGACCCACUUGCCAGCUGUGUGACCUAGAGCAUGCUACUACAUCCCUCUGAGCCUGUUGCUGGGUUUACACAGCCAACAUUGACUAGAGAUUAUCACAAGGGUUAUUAUAAAGAUUCAAUGAGAUCAUAGUGGCAAAAUGCAUGGCUCCUUUCUUGGUACAGGUAGCAAUUAUAUGACUAUGGUCAAGAGGAAGUUGUUUACAGGGGAGGAUGGAAAGAACUUGAUCAGGUUACUAUGAAAGUGGGAGGGCUGGGCAUGGUGGCUCACGUCUGUAAACCCAGCACUUUGGGAGGCCAAGGCAGGCAGAUCACCUGAGGUCAGGAGUUUAAGACCAGCCUGGUCAAAAUAGUGAAACCCCAUCUCUAAUAAAUAUACAAAAAUUACCUGGGUGUGGUGGUGCAUGCCUGUAGUCCUAGCUACUCGGGAGGCUGAGGCAGGAGAAUCGCUUGAACCUGGAAGGUGGAGGUUGCAGUGAGCCGAGAUUAUGCCACUGCACUCCAGCCUGGGCAACAGAGUGAGACUCCGUCACAAAAAAAAAAAAGAAAAAAAAAGAAAAAAGAAAAAAAAGAAAAAGAAAAUAAAAUAAAACUAAUAAAGAAAGAAAGAAAGAAAGAAAGUGGGAGGCUGAUCAAAAAUUCCAGGGGGCUGAGCACAGUGGCUCAUGUCUGUAAUCCCAGCACUUUGGGAGGCCAGGACAGGAGGAUCGCUUGAGCCCAAGAGUUCAAGACCAGCCUGGGCAACAUGGCAAGACCCCAUCUCUACAAAAAAUUGAAAAGACAAUUAGCCGAGCACGGUAGCAUGCAUCUGUGAUCCCAGCUUCUAGGGAGGCUGAGUUGGGAAAAUCACUUGAGCCCAGGAGGUCAAGGCUAUAGUGAGUCAUGUCCACGCCAUUGCACUCUAGCCUGGACAACAAAGUGAGACUCCGUCUCAAGAAAUACAACAACAACAACAAAAUUCCAAGAGAAGCCAAGCACAGUGGUGAGCAUGCCUGUGGUCCCAGCUACUUGGAAGGCUGAGGCAGGAUGAUCUCUUGAGCCCAGCAGUUUGAUGCUGCACUAAGC